rnacentral:rRNA from 1 species
UACGUAGGGGGCAAGCGUUGUCCGGAUUUAUUGGGCGUAAAGAGCUCGUAGGUGGUUCGGUAAGUCGGGUGUGAAAUCUCCAGGCUCAACCUGGAGGGGUCAUUCGAUACUGCCGUGACUAGAGGUCGGUAGGGGAGUGUGGAAUUCCUGGUGGAGCGGUGAAAUGCGUAGAGAUCCGGAGGAACACCAAAGGCGAAGGCAGUGUCCUGGGGAGUACCUGACGCUCAGGUGCGAAAGCCAGGGGAGCGAACGGG